ensembl:miRNA
UGACCAAAAAGUUCGUUUGGGUUUCUCUGUAACAGGUUAUGGGAAAACCCGAAGGAACUUUUUGGCC